CGCGAACGGCGCGUUAAUUGUAAACGGCCCUGUCGCAGUACAGAAAAAAUCGUCAAACGAACUAAGCGCAGGCGACUCGUGGACUGUACAGUUCUAGGAAACAUUUCAGUUGAAUGUUUUCACUGGGGAGGGUGAAAGAAGCGAUUAUACGAAGGCGAAUUGUGAAGAGAUGUCAAAAUCUGCAAUUUUUCUAGCUAUUGUCGAUUCGUCUAAGAAUAAUUAAGGCUGCAUGCCAAUCAAUGUAAAUCAUAAAAUAGAGCAUUUCUGCUGUCGACGUGGAUUUGAUUGGGAAGAACUAGAGUUAGAUCAAAUUCUUCCAAUUUUCGCUCAAUUAACUAAUGACGUUCAACAAUCAAGCAGUUAAGAAUUAAUAAAUUCAUGGUAUAUCAUGAGUGUUUUUUCAAGCGCCGUCUCCUGUGAAGCAUAUCUACCAUUUUCGUGCAAAGCUCUCUGGAAAGCGUAUUGACUGUGUAUGCAUGCAUGCAUCUAUCGAACUUCGUGCACAUAUAGACGUGAUGCUUUGACGAUAAAUACUUAUUAAAAUUCAAAUUAUUUAUUUCUGCCUUGUAAAGGUACAGACAGCAGAGGCGCAGAAAAAGCUGUCAGAUACAGAUUGACAAAGCCGCAGCCCCCUUUCGCUUGGCAGAGCCUUCACAGCGACACUUUUAAAACAAAGACAAUUGCACCCGGUAAUAACAGGUAUACAAUACUGAGCAAGUACAAAAGGAAACCAAUCAAGAUUAUACGAUAUUUGUACAAUACUCCCAAACAAGAAAACAGAACCUACAUGCUAACGUACAUAGCACCCAAAGUACUGUUCGACACGUUGAAGAAGUCAAAAUUAUUGUUCACAUAAGGUAUAUACAUAUUCGUAUAGCGCUACCAAUCCCUGCAAAAUAUAGAACGCAGAUUUUCAUUACACACACGCACGCACGCACGUGCACAGCACACACACCAAAAGGAAACGGCAACGCGCUCACAGGAAGCGCCUGAAAAACGAAAAAAAAAAGGAAAAGUGUGGGGAACCGAGGUCGUCUUGGGCUGUCGCCUCUCCUCUCCCAGAAGGAAUGAAGAGGUUCUUGGAAAGCAGGGACGGGCGAUUCUCUCUGUCAGCAUCAGCUCCCACCAGCGAGGACGGGGCGAGAAAGCGAAACGGGACUUUCCUUGCUGUCUAUUUUUUCUUCGUCAGGCCAACGCCGCUUGCUUGCAGGGGCGCAGGCGAGUUCCCGCCAAAUGGCGCGGGUGCGUGAGUUGCCGCCAAAUGCUAGCUCUGGAUGCCAGCUCGUUCCGCGUCUCAUGGUAGACUAGUUGGUGCAUUUCUGUUAUCAUGGACUGCGCAUAUAAACGCAAGCUACACAAAAGUGACAUGGACAAGAACAGCGCAAGCCCUUUACAUGCAGUGGAGCCGCCGUAUCUCGCCGUUCAAGAUAUGCGUACUCGAAAAAAAAAAAAAGGAGGCUUUACAUGCGAACGGAUCAAGCGUUCGAGAGUUGGGACAGGGAAAUGUGAGACGUACGUAUGUAUAUAUUUCUAAUAUUAUUUUUUCGUCUUGUAUUCUCGUUAAUUUUUCUCUAGGAAACACUGGAACGACACUGCUUAAAUUGAAGCACAGUGUGCGAAUGACCUGCUACGCUCGGAACUGUUAUCACCAUUCGGGAAGAAAUUGGGUAAGAAUGGAUUGUGUGUGGCGCGCUUCACCGCAUGUGGACUAGAGUAGAUCUAGGAACAUCAGACAAGAAGACACGUAUGUGAAACCCUGCGGAUAGCCCAUAUGUGAACUUUUUUUCCAGAUACGGAGGAACGGACACCGGUCAUGCCGUGCGCACUCUUCUGCAGGGCAUACUUACAAAUGAAGCUGCACUGCAGUUCAGCUGGAAAGGGUCGCAGGGGAGGAAGCACGCCUUCGUGAAGCUCAUGGCCAUCACGAAUAUAACAUCUGUGAGGAGCACGUUCCCUGACGCUUCACUAGCAUCAGUGGCUGGAGUCGCAAAACGCCGGUUGGUUGGAGCAGCUGACAGGGAUGGAGGCCGGAAUGAAAGAAGGCGCCGUGACCCUGCUUCAAGCCCACCAAAUAUGAACUAGUGUUUGAAACUUGUGAACGUGUCGGUGUACAUAUACAAUUACAAGAAAUAAAGACCUGUAUCAGAA